UACGUAGGGUGCGAGCGUUGUCCGGAAUUAUUGGGCGUAAAGAGCUUGUAGGCGGUUUGUCGCGUCUGCCGUGAAAAUCCGGGGCUCAACCCCGGACUUGCGGUGGGUACGGGCAGACUAGAGUGUGGUAGGGGAGACUGGAAUUCCUGGUGUAGCGGUGAAAUGCGCAGAUAUCAGGAGGAACACCGGUGGCGAAGGCGCCGCUCUGGGCCGAAACUGACGCUGAGGAGCGAAAGCGUGGGGAGCAAACAGG
rnacentral:rRNA from 1 species